rnacentral:rRNA from 1 species
GUACAUAGCCAGAUGUACUGGAAAGUGUGUCUAGAAAUUUCAAGUUAAAGCUUUAAUAAGUUUUUUAUUUACAUUAAGAAGAUUGUUGUUUGUACAAUAUGAUUUGAUUUAAAUUUUUUUAUUUAUUUGUUUUUAAUGAAAUAUCUUUUUUUUAUUAUUUAUGAUGAAAAAUUAUUUUUAAUUAUAGUUUACUAGUAAAGUAAUUGAACAUUUUUAUAUUUUUAUAAGAAAAAUUUAUUUUUUGUACCUUGUGUAUCAGGGUUGAUCAAUUAAAAUUUAAUUAUUUAAUUUUCUCGAAAUAAGAAGAUUUAGUUUAUUAUAUAUUUAAAUGUUUUAUAAUUUUUUAUAAUAAUUAACUAGAAAUGAAAUGUUAUUCGUUUUUUAUUAUAUCUAGUUGUUUAAGAAAAGAAUUAAAUUCUUUUAUUAUUAUUUUAUUAAUUAAUUUUUAAUUAAUAAAUUUUAAUAUUAAAUAUAUAUUGGGAUUAGCUUAUAUAUAAAAUUUUAAAAAUUUGAUUUAUUUUUAUUAAUUGUAUAAUUUGAAUUGUUAAUCAUAUUUAAAAUUUAAUAAUUUAUUUAAUUUUAAUUUUUAUUUAUAUUUAUUUUAAAUUUUUUAUUAAACUUUUUAAUUUGAUUUUUAUUUUUUAGUAAUAAUGAUUAAAUUAGUAAAUAUUUAUUUCAUUGAAAUUUUUAUUUGUUUUAGGUUAUUAAAAGGAAUUUGGCAAUAUAAAAUUUGUCGCCUGUUAUAAAAACAUGCCUUUGAUAAUUUAAGGUCUAAUCUGCUCAAUGAUUUAUUAAAUUGCCGCAGUAUCCUAACUGUGCAAAGGUAGCAUAAUAAUUAGUUUUUUAAUUGAAAGCUUGUAUGAAUGAUUGGACGAGAAAAUUUCUGUCUCUUUUUAAUUUUUUUUUGAAUUUAACUUUUAAGUAAAAAGGCUUAGAUUUUUUUAAAAGACGAGAAGACCCUAUAGAGUUUUAUCUUUGGUGUGUUAUUUUUUUAUAGUAUUUAUUAUUUUAAUUUAUCUUAAGAUUUGGUUGGGGUGACUUAAAGAUUAAUUAAACUCUUUUAAUUAUAAUCAUUUAUUUUUGAAUGUAAAAUCUAAUUUUUUAAUUUUAAAAUAAAUUACCUUGGGGAUAACAGCGUAA